rnacentral:lncRNA from 1 species
GAAGAUAAUAAGCCUUUGUAUUUCCAACUAUGGAUAAUAGGCUUCAGGCUCCCUACUAACAUUUUACAAUAUUUUGAUUCUUAGACCAAGCCUCUUAAACAAGCCACCUUCUAAUGAUGAUUGGGAGCAAGCAGGAAGUGACAAUGAGAGUAAUUAUAUUGUAAAUAAAAUUUGGGAUCUGAUACUGUCAAUGCUAUUUAAGAGGCCAUUUCUGAUAUAGUCCUUAUUCCUGAAGAGCGAAUAUCCACCUUCUUCUCUAGAAGCAUUGGAAAUUGAAGUUUGGUCAUGACAUUAAUGAAUUGAAAUAAAUAAAACAACCUACCCUUUCUCAGCAAUAAAU